rnacentral:rRNA from 1 species
UAAUAGAUACCCAGGUAGUUCACGCCCUAAACGAUGUCUACUAGUUGUUGGUGGAGUAAAUCCAUUAGUAACGCAGCUAACGCGUGAAGUAGACCGCCUGGGGAGUACGGUCGCAAGAUUAAAACUCAAAGGAAUUGACGGGGGGCCCGCACAAGCGGUGGAUUAUGUGGAUUAAUUCGAUGCAACGCGAAAAACCUUACCUGGCCUUGACAUGCCACUAACGAAGCAGAGAUGCAUUAGGUGCCCGAAAGGGGAAAGUGGACACAGGUGCUGCAUGGCUGUCGUCAGCUCGUGUCGUGAGAUGUUGGGUUAAGUCCCGCAACGAGCGCAACCCUUGCCAAUAAUUGCCAUCAUUCAGUUGGGCACUUUAUUGGGACUGCCGGUGACAAACCGGAGGAAGGUGGGGAUGACGUCAAGUCCUCAUGGCCCUUAUGGCCAGGGCUUCACACGUAAUACAAGUGGUCGGUACAGAGGGUAGCCAAGCCGCGAGGUGGAGCCAAUCCCAGAAAGCCGAUCGUAGUCCGGAUUGCAGU